AUGUAAAAGUUUUGGUGGGAUGAAUCUCUCGAUAAGAGAAGAAUGCACUGGCAAUCGUGGGAGAAGAUGGCUAUUUCAAAAUCCAAGGGAGGUUUGGGAUUUCGGGAUGUGGAGCUGUUCAAUGAUGCAAUGCUCGCCAAACAAGCGUGGCAGCUAUUGGAUAAGCCAGCCAGUCUAUGCACACGCGUUCUAAAGGGACGAUAUUACCCAGAUGGAGACUUUUUGUAGGCAGGAUGCCCUGCUAGCGCCUCCACUACAUGGAAAGCCAUAAUCACCGACAGAGAGGUGCUUAAGAAGGGUUUAAUCCACAGAGUUGGUGAUGGAAUGACUACGAAGGUAUGGCAUGAUAACUGGAUACAAGGGAGCAAAACAUUCAAACCAGUAUGUAAUAUUGGAAGUGAUCCCAUCCACCUUGUGUCUGAUUUGAUGACGGAUGAUGGUGACUGGAAUGAGGAAGUUAUUGAGAGAACUUUCAUUGCCCCGGAUGUGCUGGCCAUUCUCAAUAUGCCAAGGCCGCGAGUCGCUAUACCCAAUUUUUGGGCAUGGGGCUAUGAGAGGUCUGGGAUUUUCACGGUUCGAUCUGCGUACAGAAUGCUUAUGGACUCUCACGAGAACGAUCUGAACCAGGUUGGCAGUUCCUCCCAAGGGGAGGAGAUUUGGAAAUCACUAUGGCGUUUGAAGGUUGAAAGAUCGUGGAUGUCGCCUAGAGGGGGGUGA
rnacentral:rRNA from 1 species